rnacentral:rRNA from 1 species
UACGUAGGGGGCUAGCGUUGUCCGGAUUUAUUGGGCGUAAAGAGCGUGUAGGCGGCCAUGUAGGUCCGGUGUGAAAACUCGAGGCUUAACCUCGAGAUGUCAUCGGAAACCAUUUGGCUAGAGUCCGGAAGAGGAGAGUGGAAUUCCUGGUGUAGCGGUGAAAUGCGCAGAUAUCAGGAGGAACACCGGUGGCGAAGGCGGUGGUCUGGGCCGGCACUGACGCUGAGGAGCGAAAGCGUGGGGAGCGAACAGG